GUAAUGCAUCGGAACGUGCCCAAUCGUGGGGGAUAACGUAGCGAAAGUUACGCUAAUACCGCAUACGAUCUACGGAUGAAAGUGGGGGACCGCAAGGCCUCAUGCUCGUGGAGCGGCCGAUAUCUGAUUAGCUAGUUGGCGGGGUAAAAGCCCACCAAGGCGUCGAUCAGUAGCUGGUCUGAGAGGACGACCAGCCACACUGGGACUGAGACACGGCCCAGACUCC
rnacentral:rRNA from 1 species